AUUUUUAUUUGUCCCUGUGGCCUUGCUUAAGGCGGCAACGGGCAAUUAGUUCCAUGUAAGCACGGUUACUAGCAGUAGGGAAAUGGAGGUACACGAAGUGUGAAGGGGACAGGAAGCAGACCCCGAGUCCCAGUCAUAUCUCUGUGUCUUGUGUCGUCCUGCCUGGAGCUCGGGAGACCAUGAGCAACUCAUUACACUAUCUGCUCCUUGUGCUGAGUGGAUUUUUCAUCUUCAUUGCAGACACCACAGCUGGCUGUAUCAAUUCGCUACCUCUCAAUCUGCGAGCCUUCCCUGGAACAGACAUAGUCCUCAGUUCACCUGGUUUUCCAAAUGGAUACGAAAACAACAUGAGUUGUGAAUGGCGGAUCACAGCUUCUUUCAACUACGUGGUGAGGCUGACGGCCACCUACGUGGACAUAGAGCACGUGGCUGGGUGCACCAAGGACUACAUUAGCAUCUAUGAUGGCAAUUCGUCAUCCGCCGCCCUUCUGGGGGAGUACUGCAGUUACUGGUGUACACCAUUAGAAAGCAGCGGUCUACAAAUGUUUAUUCGCUUUGUCACGGACACCAAUGUCACAGACGAAGGGUUUCAACUGACGUACACCGCCGUCCGUCCACCAACGGUGCCACAGAUCAUCUUGACAGCGCCCUCUGUUGAGAUCCCAAGUUCGGCAGCCGUGUCCAUCGCCACCCCCGACAGCAGCAGCAGCAGACAGGACCUGCAACUGGCCAUCAUCGGCGCCGUCGUUGCGGUCGUCUGCGUGUUCGGCUUGCUGAUCACCGUCUGCUACGUGGUCACGGUGAAGAAGAACACCAGCGCCCGUGUCGGCGCCAUGACCUCGCGGGCAGGAGGGGGCCUGACCAGGGCGGGGAGGCGCGUGGCCGAGGAUUUUGUGGAAUACGACAACAGCCUUUUCAUGGUGCCGGUGCCUUUUCCCUCACGCUACCCCUCAGCGCCUCCUCCGGCGUACUCCUCGGACCCUCCACCAACCGACUCGGUCGAGUCGACCCCUCCGGCUGCUUCGGAUGCUGGAAAUGAGGUCAGUGGUGCAGCCAGUCCUGGAAACGAGGCUUCUGUUGAGGUUUCCGCAUCACCGAGCACUGGAGUAACAUUGGAGCCCACACUACCUUGCCAGGUCGUCCAGUAGCGUCCAGUAAAACCGUUAGGUUUUCUUGACCUGCAGACCUGCUCCUCGUUAGACAAUAUACAUCAAACUGAUGGAUAUUUUGUACGAAUCCAAUUUCGAAACAUUACUCUACAUAACACUGUCAUUGUUUAUUCAUUCAUUUGUGAUGCUGCUGUUGUGGCUAUUGUUCGCUCGUUUAUUGAUGUACUCGCGAAAAUGCGAAAAUUUUAAUAAACUGCAACACACAGCAGUUGUUAUUAACCAAGAGUGCCAUGUCUGUUUUUCUUUAAGUUAAAGCUACAGAAAUAGUUAUUAAAAAGUAAACGAAGCAAUUAUAGGUUGGUUGGGCUUUUUUUUUUUUUUUCCUUUUCUUACCCAUCCAGCCAUCCUUCUUUCUUGUUUCAUUAUCAAAUCUUUACAAGAGUACACAUUUUUGAAAACUGAAACUAGUUUCGAAAAUCUGAGUGAAUUUUCUUGUCUCUUUGUAUAUCUAUAUAUCGAAGCCUACUUGAAAUGUUAUCAUGCACAGACAUAAUUCAAAACUGAGGUAACAAAUAGACGAAUUUACGUUGUCAAGGUUACAGCCAAUAAAAGAUCACAUGAUAA
rnacentral:misc_RNA from 1 species